CUGGUGUUGCUCCUCAGUUUCUGCCAGGGAGUCUGAAAGUACAACAAUUAAGGCUUGUAUAUGUCUGUAGAAGGACAAAAUGUCCCCAAUAAUUUGUAAGCACACAGACACACACAGAGUUCACAAUAGCAGUCAUGGUUUCAUGAAAAGGAAGUUUACCUUCAAUAAUUCCUCUUUUUCCAUCAGAGUCUCCAUCAUCUCAUUGUUCUUCAUCUCAAGCUCCUAAAAUACAGACGAAGAAAAUGUCCCUGAAAUUUUCGCCACCUGGUUGGUCAGGUUCGCCUUCUCCAUCUGGUGUUUCUCCUCAAGUUUCGCCAUGGAACUCUACAAGUACAACAAUUAAGAGCAGUUCCUCCAGCUCCCUCACUCUCUCCUGCAGCUGAAAAUUGGACACCGCAAGCUUCUGCAUCUUCUCCUCAGAAUGACUCACAGAAUCCUG